CACCCAACAGCUAGCCCAACACAUCAAAACCAACAAACCCCUAUUUAUAAACCCAAAGCCCCUAAUCAUAACAAAACAAACCAUUUUUCCCCCUUAGUAUGGGCGACAGAAAAGGACAAAG
rnacentral:rRNA from 1 species